CAUGAUCGGGGCUGGAAAGUUUUUCGGUUGAAGAUGAUCUCGCGGCCUAUCAGCUUGUUGGUGAGGUAAUGGCUCACCAAGGCGACGACGGGUAGCCGGCCUGAGAGGGCGACCGGCCACACUGGGACUGAGACACGGCCCAGACUCCUACGGGAGGCAGCAGUGGGGAAUAUUGGGCAAUGGAGGAAACUCUGACCCAGCGACGCCGCGUGAGGGAUGAAGGCCUUCGGGUUGUAAACCUCUUUCAGUAGGGAAGAAGCGAAAGUGACGGUACCUACAGAAGAAGCACCGGCUAACUAUGUG
rnacentral:rRNA from 1 species